rnacentral:rRNA from 1 species
GGGUGACGAGCGGCGGACGGGUGAGUAAUGUCUGGGAAACUGCCUGAUGGAGGGGGAUAACUACUGGAAACGGUAGCUAAUACCGCAUAACGUCUACGGACCAAAGUGGGGGACCUUCGGGCCUCAUGCCAUCAGAUGUGCCCAGAUGGGAUUAGCUAGUAGGUGGGGUAAUGGCUCACCUAGGCGACGAUCCCUAGCUGGUCUGAGAGGAUGACCAGCCACACUGGAACUGAGACACGGUCCAGACUCC